UUGAUGGAGAGUUUGAUCCUGGCUCAGGACGAACGCUGGCGGCGUGCUUAACACAUGCAAGUCGU
rnacentral:rRNA from 1 species